rnacentral:rRNA from 1 species
GAGUUUGAUCGUGGCUCAGAUUGAACGCUGGCGGCAUGCCUUACACAUGCAAGUCGAACGGUAACAGGUCUUCGGAUGCUGACGAGUGGCGAACGGGUGAGUAAUACAUCGGAACGUGCCCAGACGUGGGGGAUAACGAGGCGAAAGCUUUGCUAAUACCGCAUACGAUCUAAGGAUGAAAGCAGGGACCGCAAGGCCUUGCGCGUUUGGAGCGGCCGAUGGCAGAUUAGGUAGUUGGUGGGAUAAAAGCUUACCAAGCCGACGAUCUGUAGCUGGUCUGAGAGGACGACCAGCCACACUGGGACUGAGACACGGCCCAGACUCCUACGGGAGGCAGCAGUGGGGAAUUUUGGACAAUGGGCGAAAGCCUGAUCCAGCAAUGCCGCGUGCAGGAUGAAGGCC